UGGAAAGACAACUGUUGAAGCCGUCAUGUUGUCUGCCACUUUCUUUGCCGUUCUUCUCCUGAUCUUGUGUGCAACCAACGUGGAAGAGACCUGGGCUGAGGAGAGCAUGGAAUCGAACAUCCAGGGGAAAGAAGUUAGAGAACGUGACACCGGAUCAUUGGUGGCUGCCCUUUUAGGCACAGGCGUAGCACUUGACGCGGGGGCUACAA
rnacentral:lncRNA from 11 species